GCGCGCCUUGCAGGAGAGAGAGGCUAAUCCUCCGCCGAAGGCGCAAACUCCCAUAAACGCUCAGGCCCAUGUACUGCAACACAAUU
rfam:Oblitimonas alkaliphila strain E5571 chromosome.